CCACCUGUUGGAAGAGAAGACGAGGGAGAUGUUUGUAGGUGCCACUCCAGAAAAAGACGUUUGUUUCUUGAAAAAGAACCGGUAGGGGCCCGAGCACCUGGAGCCAUUUUAGGAGAAGUCUGGGGGACGUGCUUCCUCGCGUUUCUACACCACUAAGGUCACGAUCACUGGAGACAUGGCCACUCCAGCUUUCCCCUUCCUCCAGCUAUCACCUGGACCCAGCCAAAGCCAUUGCAUCAGCAGCUCCGACAGCUUCCGCCCGCGCCCUACCUGCCAACCCUGGGCAGGAGUGGGGGAGGGAAGGAAAUAGAAACUUUAUUCCAAUUUCCUUCUCUUUCCUAACUUCCCCUCCCACUCCGGAUCAUAACUAGCCUUUUGACGUCCUUCAAUGUCUGCACCCCCAAGAAUCUGCUAGGCUCCCUCGGCGUGGAGGUGACAGAGGACAGAACCUGGGCUGUUGUACAAGAUAGUUACUGUGGCCUUCAAGACUUGACUGGAGGAGACAUGAGAUAAAUAAGCAGAAGAACAAAUAAAAGUGCCUGAGAUCAGGACUGUGAGGAACGUAAGACAGCACCCUGAGAUUGAGUAGCUGUCCUGAAGGAGAGAGUGGCAGGGACGUCACUGGCCUACUUUACAUGAGAUGGCCAAGGAGGACCCCUCAAGAAAUGGAAUUUGGGCUGAGACAUAAAGAAAAAAAAGGGCUGGCAUUGCUAUCCACUCUAGAAGGAAGAUGGGAACAGUGGAAGGAUGGAGCUGAGAGCGUUUAGAGAGUAGGGGAAAAGGAGAUUGAGAUGAGAGUACACAAUGGGCAGGGCCUGGAGGCAAGAAACCUCCUGAGCUAAAAAUAGAGUCAGUGAAAACACUGUACCAGUGGUGGCUAUUGUACUUGCAUUUUUUUUUUUUAGAGAAUUUUGUUGAUUAAUCAUUCAACCACAGUAACCCAAAUUUCAUAUUCUCUGCACCUGCUCUAAGAAGAAACAAAAUAAAAACAAGUUGUGU